GUGUGUUUUACCUCCGGGCACGCUGUACCAGGCCCCUCCCUAGGUGAAGCUAGUGUCUGUCUGUGUGUUUUACCUCCGGGCACGCUGUACCAGGCCCCUCCAUUGGUGAAGCUAGUGUCCGUAGGUGAAGCUAGUGUCUGUCUGUGUGUUUUACCUCCGGGCACGCUGUACCAGGCCCCUCCAUUGGUGAAGCUAGUGUCUGUCUGUGUGUUUUACCUCCGGGCACGCUGUACCAGGCCUCUCCCUAGGUGAAGCUAGUGUCUGUCUGUGUGUUUUACCUCCGGGCACGCUGUACCAGGCCCCUCCAUUGGUGAAGCUAGUGUCUGUCUGUGUGUUUUACCUCCGGGCACGCUGUACCAGGCCUCUCCCUAGGUGAAGCUAGUGUCUGUCUGUGUGUUUUAC